rnacentral:rRNA from 1 species
CCUACGGGGGGCUGCAGUGGGGAAUAUUGCACAAUGGGCGUAAGCCUGAUGCAGCCAUGCCGCGUGUGUGAAGAAGGCCUUCGGGUUGUAAAGCACUUUCAGCGGGGAGGAAGGCGUUAAGGUUAAUAACCUUGGCGAUUGACGUUACCCGCAGAAGAAGCACCGGCUAACUCCGUGCCAGCAGCCGCGGUAAUACGGAGGGUGCAAGCGUUAAUCGGAAUUACUGGGCGUAAAGCGCACGCAGGCGGUCUGUCAAGUCGGAUGUGAAAUCCCCGGGCUCAACCUGGGAACUGCAUUCGAAACUGGCAGGCUAGAGUCUUGUAGAGGGGGGUAGAAUUCCAGGUGUAGCGGUGAAAUGCGUAGAGAUCUGGAGGAAUACCGGUGGCGAAGGCGGCCCCCUGGACAAAGACUGACGCUCAGGUGCGAAAGCGUGGGGAGCAAACAGGAUUAGAUACCCGAGUAGUC